CACGGUAAACGAUGGAUGCCCGCUGUUUGCGAUAUACUGUGAGCGGCCAAGAGAAAUCGUUAAGCAUCCCACCUGGGGAGUACGCCGGCAACGGUGAAACUCAAAGGAAUUGACGGGGGCCCGCACAAGCGGAGGAACAUGUGGUUUAAUUCGAUGAUACGCGAGGAACCUUACCCGGGCUUGAACUGCCAGCGAACGAUUCAGAGAUGAUGAGGUCCUUCGGGACGCUGGUGGAGGUGCUGCAUGGUUGUCGUCAGCUCGUGCCGUGAGGUGUCGGCUUAAGUGCCAUAACGAGCGCAACCCUUUUCUUUAGUUGCCAUCAGGUAAUGCUGGGCACUCUGGAGAUACUGCCACCGUAAGGUGUGAGGAAGGUGGGGAUGACGUCAAAUCAGCACGGCCCUUACGUCCGGGGCUACACACGUGUUACAAUGGGAGGUACAGAGAGUCGGAUAUACGCAAGUAUGUUCUAAUCCUUAAAGCCUUCCUCAGUUCGGAUUGGGGUCUGCAACCCGACC
rnacentral:rRNA from 1 species